rnacentral:tRNA from 1 species
CAGGGAGACAACAAAAUGUUUAAUAUUAUUAUUUUGUCACCUUAGGUCGAUCGGUAUCUCACGUUCUUAAUUUAUUAAGAAUUUCAUUUCCUAAGUUUUUCUAGGUCACACCCAUUAUUUUUCCUGGGCCAUUAGCUCAGGUGGUUAGAGCGCACCCCUGAUAAGGGUGAGGUCCCUGGUUCAAGUCCAGGAUGGCCCAUAUCUCUAUGUUGGGGGUAUAGCUCAGUUGGUAGAGCGCCUGCUUUGCAAGCAGGAUGUCAGCGGUUCGAGUCCGCUUACCUCCACUGAUUACCACCUCUUCCAUAAUCGGUAGAAAGGAAAUGUUCUGAGUUGUGACAAAGUCUGAACGAAUCUAGCUUCCUAAUAAAACCAUUAAGAUGCUGGACUCAUUGAAUUAAUUUCAUUGUUUUCAGAGAACCUUGACAACUGCAUAGAUUAUUUUUAAAGACAAUAAGCAUCUUUAAUGAUGCAGAUUUAUUAUUUGUGCGAACGCAUUAAUAACAAUUCUAUUAAGCUGAUGCUUCAAUUUUGAAGUUAUU